UACGUAGGGGGCAAGCGUUGUCCGGAAUCAUUGGGCGUAAAGCGCGUGUAGGCGGCCCGAUAAGUCCGCUGUGAAAGUCCAGGGCUCAACCCUGGGAAUGCCGGUGGAACUGUCAGGCGUCGAGUCCGGAAGAGGCGAGUGGAAUUCCUGGUGUAGCGGUGAAAUGCGCAGAUAUCAGGAGGAACACCAGUGGCGAAAGGCGGCU
rnacentral:rRNA from 1 species